AUUGAACGCUGGCGGCAGGCCUAACACAUGCAAGUCGAGCGAGCGGCGGACGGGUGAGUAAUGCUUGGGUAUCUGGCCUAUGGAGGGGGAUAACGACGGGAAACUGUCGCUAAUACCGCGUACCAUAGGAUGAGCCCAAGUGGGAUUAGGUAGUUGGUGGGGUAAUGGCCUACCAAGCCGACGCUCUCUAGCUGGUCUGAGAGGAUGACCAGCCACACCGGGACUGAGACACGGCCCGGACUCCUACGGGAGGCAGCAGUGGGGAAUAUUGCGCAAUGGGGGCAACCUGACGCAGCCAUGCCGCGUGAAUGAAGAAGGCCUUCGGUUUGUAAAGUUCUUUCGGUGACGAGGCGUUAAUCACAGAAGAAGCACCGGCUAACUCCGUGCCAGCAGCCGCGGUAAUAC
rnacentral:rRNA from 1 species